GACGAACGCUGGCGGCGUGCUUAACACAUGCAAGUCGAACGGAAAGGCCCUGCUUUUGUGGGGUGCUCGAGUGGCGAACGGGUGAGUAACACGUGAGUAACCUGCCCUUGACUUUGGGAUAACUUCAGGAAACUGGGGCUAAUACCGGAUAGGAGCUCCUGCUGCAUGGUGGGGGUUGGAAAGUUUCGGCGGUUGGGGAUGGACUCGCGGCUUAUCAGCUUGUUGGGGGGGUAGUGGCUUACCAAAGCUUUGACGGGUAGCCGGCCUGAGAGGGUAACCGGCCCAGCUACAAUGGAAAUAAGACACGGCCUCGUAUGGUACGCAGCAGAGCAGUAGAGUAUAUAAGAGACGGAGCCCUAGUCUAGUACCGCCGCGUCCGGGGAGACGUGCUGCGGGUUGGAUUCUGCAUUCCUUUUUGACGAAGAGUUAAUGACGGUACCGGGUGAAUAAGCACCGGCUAACUCCGUG
rnacentral:rRNA from 1 species